rnacentral:misc_RNA from 1 species
UCCGGUUUGGCACCGGCAGUCUCCCUAGAGUUCCCGGCAUGACCCGCUGGCAACUAAGGACAGGGGUUGCGCUCGUUGCGCCACUUAAGGCAACACCUCACGGCACGAGCUGACGACAGCCAUGCACCACCUGUGCGGGCUCCGAGGAGCGCCGUAUCUCUACGGUUUCACCCCGCAUGUCAAGCCCAGGUAAGGUUCUUCGCGUCGCUUCGAAUUAAACCACAUGCUCCACCGCUUGUGCGGGCCCCCGUCAAUUCCUUUGAGUUUCACCCUUGCGAGCGUACUCCCCAGGUGGAAUACUUACCAGGUUACCUACGGCACUGACCCACAAGGGGCCAACACCAAGUAUUCAUCGUUUACAGCUAGGACUAC